GAUUAACGCUGGCGGCGUGCAUAACACAUGCAAGUCGAACGAUGAAACUCAUUAGAUUUCUUCGGAAUGAAAAUGAAUGGCUUAGUGGCGAACGGGUGAGUAACGCGUGAGUAACCUGCCUUACACAAGGGGAUAGCCUCUGGAAACGGAGAAUAAUACCCUAUGAAACCAGACAAUCGCAUGAUAAUCUGGUCAAAAUGUUUAGUGGUGUAAGAUGGACUUGCGUCUGAUUAGCUAGUUGGUGAGAUAAAAGCUCACCAAGGCAACGAUCAGUAGCCGGCUUGAGAGAGUGGACGGCCACAUUGGGACUGAGACACGGCCCAGACUCCUACGGGAGGCAGCAGUGGGGAAUUUUGCACAAUGGGGGAAACCCUGAUGCAGCGACGCCGCGUGAUUUAGAAGGCCUUCGGGUUGUAAAAAUCUUUUGUAUAGGAAGAAAAUGACAGUACUAUACGAAUAAGGUCCGGCUAAUUACGUG
rnacentral:rRNA from 1 species